UACGAAGGUCCCGAGCGUUAUCCGGAUUUAUUGGGUUUAAAGGGUGCGUAGGCGGGUUAUUAAGUCAGUGGUGGAAAGCCUACAGCUUAACUGUAGAAUUGCCAUUGAUACUGAUGAUCUUGAGUAUGAUUGAGGUGGGCGGAAUGUGUCAUGUAGCGGUGAAAUGCUUAGAUAUGACACAGAACACCGAUUGCGAAGGCAGCUCACAAAGCCAACUAUUGGACGCUGGAGGCAACGAAAGCGUGGGGAUCAAACAGG
rnacentral:rRNA from 1 species